CCUCUUCUAGAACAUUCUUCCUCUUCCUCCCCCUGUAGGCUCUCUUGCCUUCUCCAGCUAGUCAGGAUGCUGCCAGCUCCGGGCAUGGGGCUGUGUCUGCCCCAACGUGGUGGAGAGCUGGAAUCUGAGCACUCGAGCUUGGGGACAGCUGCCCACCUUGAGCCCACAAGAGGAAGCAGCACGGGGAGGAGGUUAUGCUUGUGGGGGGUGCAGAACAAGGGAAAACAGAGAAGCCGGCUUGAACCAUCUCUCUUGCGAUGUGCCCUCUGCAUUAUCACCCACUGGCCCCGAUGCCAGCUGACAGACCUCAUCCAAACACUUGGCUGGGAUUUGGGGACUUCUUUUAACGCCUGCUAGUGAGUUUGCUGGCUUCCUGGGUGCUCAUUUCUGGUUCUGCACAAAAGAGCCACAUUUCCUUUUGGAACCGGGACCAGGAGACAGACAGCAGCAGACAUUGGAAGUUGUGAGUACUCUUCCUCCAGCGCCUCUCUGCCCCUGUCCGUCCGUCCGUCCUGCCUCCCCUUUCUUUCUCUACCAGCACACUGUCUGUCGGGCUCCUCCGCGAACCCCUCUGGCAGCCCUCGGCACCACUCUGGCUUUUGGGAAAGGAACCUCUACAGUUUCUGCACAAACAUCCAUGGGGAGGGGAGGGGUGGGGAGGGUGCUUAGCAGCGUGACUCCCUCUACUUCUCAUUUUGAGGCUCCGAAAGAUGGCGAAAGUACACAGAAGGAGGCUGGCUUAUUUCAGGGCGAGCAGUGAGUCCCCACUGAGUUUACCUAAUAAAACGAAUUUUAAAAUUUUCAUUUUCUCAUUUUGUUCCAGCAGAAAAUGAGCUUGCCUUUAUAAUGUCCAGAUCUUUCAAACUGAGUGAGAAAUUAAGUUACAAAAUGUAAAUACUUUGGUAUACAUGCACGCGCGCGUGCGCGCACACACACGUAUAUAUAUGAAAUGAAGUAAUCCCUGACGGUAAUGCAAUAGAAAGCCUGACUUUAGGCUCCUAGGACGCUUAAAAAAAUUUUUAUGACGUGCAAUAAAGAAAAGUAAGGUUCAGUAAAAAUGUUUCUCUUUAAAAAUGGAUGCUUUGUGAUACUUAAUAAAUUUAAUUGUAAUUUUCAGUUAACAUGAGUUGCUUAUUUCUUAAAAAUCUUCUGAACGUCUUUGUGAAAUAUUGGGAGGAUUGUAAGAAUGUUAAUGUUCUAGUCUACAAUUUACUUCUUU
ensembl:lncRNA